rnacentral:rRNA from 1 species
CCUGACUGCUAUCGGAUUGAUACUAAGCCAUGCGAGUCAUUGUAGCAAUACAAGGCAUACGGCUCAGUAACGCGUAGUCAACCUAACCUAUGGACGGGAAUAACCUCGGGAAACUGAGAAUAAUGCCCGAUAGAACACUAUACCUGGAAUGGUUUGUGUUCCAAAUGAUUUAUCGCCAUAGGAUGGGACUGCGGCCUAUCAGUUUGUUGGUGAGGUAAUGGCCCACCAAGACUAUUACAGGUACGGGCUCUGAGAGGAGUAGCCCGGAGAUGGGUACUGAGACACGGACCCAGGCCCUAUGGGGCGCAGCAGGCGAGAAAACUUUGCAAUGUGCGAAAGCACGACAAGGUUAAUCCGAGUGAUUUGUGCUAAACGAAUCUUUUGUUAGUCCUAGAAACACUAACGAAUAAGGGGUGGGCAAGUUCUGGUGUCAGCCGCCGCGGUAAAACCAGCACCUCAAGUGGUCAGGAUGAUUAUUGGGCCUAAAGCAUCCGUAGCCGGCUCUGUAAGUUUUCGGUUAAAUCUGUACGCUUAACGUACAGGCUGCCGGGAAUACUGCAGAGCUAGGGAGUGGGAGAGGUAGACGGUACUCGGUAGGAAGUGGUAAAAUGCUUUGAUCUAUCGAUGACCACCUGUGGCGAAGGCGGUCUACCAGAACACGUCCGACGGUGAGGGAUGAAAGCUGGGGGAGCAAACCGGAUUAGAUACCCGGGUAGUCCCAGCUGUAAACUACGCAAACUCAGUGAUGCAUUGGCUUGUGGCCAAUGCAGUGCUGCAGGGAAGCCGUUAAGUUUGCCGCCUGGGAAGUACGUACGCAAGUAUGAAACUUAAAGGAAUUGGCGGGGGAGCACCACAAGGGGUGAAGCCUGCGGUUC